GACGAACGCUGGCGGCGUGCUUAACACAUGCAAGUCGAACGGUAAGGCUCCAGCUUGCUGGGGUACACGAGUGGCGAACGGGUGAGUAACACGUGGGUGACCUGCCCUGCACUUCGGGAUAAGCCUGGGAAACUGGGUCUAAUACCGGAUAGGACCGCACCGUGAGGGUGUGGUGGAAAGUUUUUUCGGUGUGGGAUGGGCCCGCGGCCUAUCAGCUUGUUGGUGGGGUAAUGGCCUACCAAGGCGGCGACGGGUAGCCGGCCUGAGAGGGUGGACGGCCACGGUGGGACUGAGACACGGCCCAGACUCCUACGGGAGGCAGCAGUGGGGAAUAUUGCACAAUGGGCGGAGGCCUGAUGCAGCGACGCCGCGUGGGGGAUGACGGCCUUCGGGUUGUAAACUCCUUUCACCAUCGACGAAGGGUUUCUGACGGUAGAUGGAGAAGAAGCACCGGCUAACUACGUGCCAGCAGCCGCGGUAA
rnacentral:rRNA from 1 species